UACGUAGGGUGCGAGCGUUAAUCGGAAUUACUGGGCGUAAAGCGUGCGCAGGCGGCGCGUUAAGACAGGUGUGAAAGCCCCGAGCUUAACUUGGGAAUUGCGCUUGUGACUGGCGUGCUGGAGUGUGGCAGAGGGAGGUGGAAUUCCACGUGUAGCAGUGAAAUGCGUAGAGAUGAUGGAGGAACACCGAUGGCGAAGGCAGCCUCCUGGGCCAGCACUGAC
rnacentral:rRNA from 1 species